CGGCCACGAGGUUGGUGGUUUCCCCUUGUUGCAGGAGGCCACGGGGCCUGGGAGCUCCAGGGCCAUCAACAACCUUCGCAGGUCCAGCAGCACCACGCAGGUCCACCAGCCUCAAGCCAAGCAGGCGUGGGCCGGCCCCCUCAGGCCGGCAGAGCCCCCCAACUUCCUGACGUUCUUUGAGAGCAGCCCCGGUGGGAACCAGAGGCCGGCCAGUGUGAGCAGGGCCUCCAGCGAGAAGGGGGCCACCUGGAAUGUCCUGGACGACCAGCCCAGGGCCCUCCCCUCACCGCCCGCCGCCCAGAGUCCCUGUGCCCUGGACACGCCGGCGGGCCCACGGAGGAGAGAGGGCACCGUCUCCCUGGCGCCCAACUUCACUGCCAACAACAG